rnacentral:rRNA from 1 species
UACGAGGGGGGCAAGCGUUGUUCGGAAUUAUUGGGCGUAAAGGGUGCGUAGGCGGUCUGACAGGUCUGAUGUGAAAUCUAUGGGCUCAACUCAUAGUCUGCAUCGGAAACUGCCGGGCUUGAGUAUGGGAGAGGUGAGUGGAAUUCCUGGUGUAGCGGUGAAAUGCGUAGAUAUCAGGAGGAACACCUGUGGCGAAAGCGGCUCACUGGACCAUAACUGACGCUGAUGCACGAAAGCUAGGGGAGCAAACAGG